rnacentral:rRNA from 1 species
CCGCCUCACCGCGUGCACUGGUCCGGCCGGGCCUUUCCUCCUGGGGAGCCGCAUGCCCUUCACUGGGUGUGUCGGGGAACCAGGACUUUUACUUUGAAAAAAUUAGAGUGUUCAAAGCAGGCCUAUGCUCGAAUACAUUAGCAUGGAAUAAUAGAAUAGGACGUGUGGUUCUAUUUUGUUGGUUUCUAGGACCGCCGUAAUGAUUAAUAGGGAUAGUCGGGGGCAUCAGUAUUCAAUUGU